AAAAAAAAAAAAUCUGGAUUUCCAUAUACAAUGUUUGACUGUCCAUCUUAUAUAAAAUCUUUUUAUAAUUAGUAUUUUUAAACAUGAUUAAUACUUUAUGUGUGACUUGUCUUUUUAAUUUUUUUCAUAAUUUUUUUAAAUAAGAUGGUCGGUCAAACGUUGAACACGGAAACCCAGUGUUUGUCUUUUU
rfam:Oryza glumipatula chromosome 5, whole genome shotgun sequence.